rnacentral:rRNA from 1 species
GAAACGACUGAUAAUACCGAAUAAGCUCUACGGAGUAAAGAAGCCAUCAAGCUUCGCUAAGAGAUGGGCCUGCGGCGUAUUAGCUAGUUGGUGGGGUAAGAGCCUACCAAGGCGACGAUGCGUAGCCGAACUGAGAGGUUGAUCGGCCACACUGGGACUGAGACACGGCCCAGACUCCUACGGGAGACAGCAGUUAGGAAUAUUCGUCAAUGGGGGAAACCCUGAACGAGCAAUGCCGCGUGAAUGAAGAAGGCCCUAUGGGUUGUAAAAUUCUGUUGUAUGGAAAGAAAUGUAAAGUUAGGAAAUGAACUUUACUUGACGGUACCAUUCAAGAAAGCCACGGCUAACUACGUGCCAGCAGCCGCGGUAAUACGUAGGUGGCGAGCGUUAUCCGGAUUUAUUGGGCGUAAAGGGUGCGUAGGCGGUAUGUUAAGUAUAAAAUAAAAGCCCGAAGCUUAACUUCGGUUCGUUUUAUAAACUGUCAAACUAGAGUACAGUAGAGGCAAAUGGAAUUCCUAGUGUAGUGGUAAAAUGCGUAGAUAUUAGGAGGAACACCAGUGGCGAAGGCGAUUUGCUGGGCUGUAACUGACGCUGAGGCACGAAAGCGUGGGGAGCAAAUAGGAUUAGAUACCCUAGUAGUCCACGCCGUAAACGAUGAGUACUAAGUGUCGGGAAACCGGUGCU